AGAGUUUGAUCAUGGCUCAGAACGAACGUUGGCGGCGUGGAUUAGGCAUGCAAGUCGUGCGAGAAAGGGGCUUCGGCCCUGAGUAAAGCGGCGAACGGGUGAGUAUCGCGUGGGAAACCUGCCUUCAAGUGGGGGAUAACACUCCUAACGGGGUGCUAAUACCGCAUGACACCCUUGGGUCGCAUGGCCCGAGUGUCAAAGGUGGCCUCUACUUGUAAGCUACCGCUUGAAGAUGGUCCCGNGUCCGAUUAGCUAGUUGGCGGGUAACGGCUCACCAAGGCGACGAUCGGUAGCUGGUCUGAGAGGAUGGUCAGCCACACUGGGACUGAGAUACGGCCCAGACUCCUACGGGGGGCAGCAGUCUAGAGGCUUCGGCAAUGGGGGCAACCCUGACCGAGCGACGCCGCGUGCGGGAUGAAGGCGUUUUCGUCGUAAACCGCUGUGUAAGGGGAAGAAUGCCGGAAUGGUGAAUUCCGGAGGGACGGUACUCUUACAGAAAGCCCCGGCUAACUCCGUGCCAGCAGCCGCGGUAAUA
rnacentral:rRNA from 1 species